GGGCGGGGCGCGGCGGCUGUCAGCUGACUGUGGCGGCGGCGGCCUCGAGGUGACAACUGUCUCCGUCGCAGGCUCCGGCGGGGGCGCAGGAGGUCGCCCGGCGCGUCACUGUCGGGUCGGCGAGCCACGGGGGCCGCCGCAGCACCAUGGCGACCACCGUCAGCACUCAGCGCGGGCCGUAAUGAGCAGUCCCACUGUCUUUAACGGACACCUAAAGAGUGCAGAGCAAGGAGAUGGAGCGCUGGACGCCUUCAAAUACCGGGACAACCAGGAUCCAGAGCAGCGAGGGACCCACAGUGCUCCCUCAGAGGCCUCUGGACCCCACGCCCACACGUCCCUGUGACCACCCACACCCUCCCCCGACUGGCUUCUCCAUGCUGCUGUCUCCGGGACAUGAGUCGCCUGUCUGUCCCCCACGUGUGGCCAGGAGGGCAUGAGCCACCUGUCUGUCCCCUACGUGUGCCCAGGAGGGCACGAGCCGCCUGUCUGUCUGCCAUGUGUGCCCAGGAGAUACGGUGCUUUUCCUGCCAUGUCCUCAGAGCUGUGCAUGUGGCACACAGGAAGCAGUUGUCACAAAUAAACAGGAAUUUGGCCU
rnacentral:lncRNA from 10 species